GCAGCUUUCCCAAAUCCAAAUCUACACCCUCCCCUAUUUCUCACUCAUCUUCACUCUCUCACCUCAAUCAGAUCGAAAAACAUGGUAGGCUUUGAAAUCGGCGUCGUCCCCUUCAACCCCGACCACCCCGUCAAUGUUCCCUUUACUACCUUUUCUUGGUCCGACAAGCUGAGUCGGAUCGCUGACUUCACUCGCAACAACCCCAAUUCCAAUAACCCUAGAAGCGCAGAAAUAAAGUCGUUUGCAGAAAUCAGACAAGUAUGGCUCACAAACAGGCUUAGGGUUUGUAUAUACUUUUAACUUUCAACUUCAAUACCAUGAAUAUUUCGAAUACAUCAUCUUUUGGCUGUUUCAUAUAUAAACUGUUCAGCUCCUUUGUAGUACGACUCUUUUCUUCUUAAUGUAUUACUUAAAAAACUUCCACCUUUUUUUUAUUUCAUCCGGUUCUCUCAGUUACUACUUAAUUAACAAAAAAUCUAUAAUGUAUAAUGUUCUUAAGUUUCUUUGCUUCUGUAUAUUCCCAUUGUCGGGGAGGAAAGUGUGAGACCCCGAAUUUUAUGAAAUAAAAGUAUUCAUUUUUUUUUAUUUUAGUAAAUGGUUAAAUUGAUAAAAGGUUAAAGUUAAGGGUGAUAUGUGAAAUUUUUUUUUAAGUAGACAAGUUGUCAUAAAAUAUCUGGUUACUAUUCACUCUAGUAUUAUUCACUCGGGUAUUUGGGACACUUUUUGUGUCGGAGUACUAUUACGAGUUACUAUUCACCCAAAUUACUAUUCACUCUAUUAUUGUUCACUCGAGUAUUUGGGACACUUUUUGUUUCGGAGUUACUAUUCACGAGUUACUAUUCACCCAAAUUAAUAUUCACUCUAGUAUUGUUCACUCGAGUAUUUGGAACACUUUUUGUUUCAGAGUUACUAUUCACGAGUUACUAUUCACCCGAACAAAAUAUUUUAUGAAAAUAACGACGGAGGUUUUACCGUUAAAACUGUUGAACUACUCGGUAGUAAAAGUACAGUAAUACGCGUUGUUGCAUAGUAGCACACGGUAUUGAUUAUUGAUAUUUAUGUGAGAAGUCACUCAGUUUGAUUCAAUUAUUGUUGAUUAAUAAUAUGAAUUAUUAUAGCGAUAAUAACGUUUUGUUUUAUUCGUAUUAUUAACGUAAUAAAACAGAAACAUCUUUUUAUAUAAAACAGAAUACUUUAUUAAAGUUAUUCUAUAAAUAGAAUAUAUUAUAUUUUAUUAUGCAUAGUGUUUGCAUAGUGCCUGCAUAGUGUUUGAAUAGUAAAAAUCUUUUAUUAUAAAUAGAAUAUAUUAUAUUUUAUUUAAAAGAUUUUGCUUUAAAUAUGGACCGUCAGAUUAAAGUAAAUCAAUUUGGACCGUUCAUGAGUUAGUUACUAUGCAGUCCAUUCUUCUAUAAAUAGAAGUUCAUUCCUUCAUUAUUUUCUUACAAAUUCACUGAAACUCUAGAGAGAAAAUUAUAGAGAAACUAUAGAAAAGUAUUCUGCUACUUCCCUACUCUUAUAUUCAGUUCUUUUACGGUAAGGGGUGUUAUUCUUUCUUAUUCAUGAAGAGAACUUCUGUUAUUUCAUUCUUUAUUAUUCUGUUGGAAUAACCUGUAUACGCGGCAUACCCUAUACAUGGUGAUCUUCUUUUGUAAUUCAAUUCUUUAUUAUUCUGUUGGAAUAACAUGUAUGCGAUGUUUACCCUAUACUUGGUGGAAUGACCUGUAUAUGUGGUUUACCCAAUACUUGGUGAUCUUCUUUUAUUAUUCCGCAUUUAUUAUUCUGUCGGAAUAUCCUGUCGGUGUGAAUUUCACCUGACCUGGUUCCAUAUUUAUUAUUCUGCAUUUAUUAUUCUGUUGAGAAUAACCUGUCUGUGCGGUCUCUAUCGCAUACAUGGUGAUGUUUUUUGUUGUUCCAUUCUUUAUUAUUUUGUUGGAAUAACCUGUCUAUGUGGAUUACCACGUGCAUGGUGAAUGAUCCUUUGUAUUCAUUCCUUAUUAAAUUGUGGAAAUGAUCUGUAUACGUGGAUUACUGCAUGGCGGUGAAAAUCUAUUUGCAGUUUCAUAUAUUCUUUAUUAUACUCAGUUGGUUAGAGUUUUGACUUCUAUACUCCAUGAAAUUAGUGGAAUAUCCUUGAUAUUUGCGCUUCAUCCAGUAUUUUUUCAUGGAAAUAUUCUUCUGAGCAUUUUUGAAUUUUACUUUACAAAGAAGUAUCAUGUUGACAAUUUGGACAUUAUUAGUUCCUGGAUAAAUAAAUUCUUGAACUUAUUUUAUUGAAUUAUUAUGUCAUUGUCAUCAUCCUUAUGUUUAUAUUGUGUUGAAAGUCAUCUUUGACUUACGUGCAGAGAUGGACUUGGUAUGAUUAUGACCAGGGAUUAUUCGGUAUAGUCAUGACCAUUAAUGAUUUAAUGAACAUCCUUGGCCCGUAGUGCAAGGAUGAUUCGAUUAUGUGGUUUAUUCAUUAAGCUGAGUCUUAGCGAUAAAAAUGAUGAAAAACUUUUUAAAUCAUAAAAGAUAGUAAAUUUUAUUCUCUACUUGACUCUUUUAAUGGAUUGCUUAUUUCCGCUGCAGUUUUUGAUCUAAAACUUGUUGUCUAUUAUAUUCUAUCAGUUGUUAUACUGUUGAAGGCUAAGGAUAAUUUAUUCUGAAUUAUCUUAGUCAUAAUAUUUCUUACUGGGCUAGUUGAGCUCACCUAUUCUUUCACUGUUCUCUUCAGGAAAUGAGAAUAUAGUUGUGACGAGUCGGGGAACGGAGUGACAAUCCAGAUGAUAGCAUUAGUAGUCCUCACUAUUCUGUUAGAUAGUGUGACAAUAAAUGUAUUGAGGACUUAUUUGUGUUUGAAUACUGU
rnacentral:lncRNA from 1 species